rnacentral:rRNA from 1 species
UGCUUUAGCAAUAAGAACCCGGUGACAGGUGCUGCAUGGCUGUCGUCAGCUCGUGUCGUGAGAUGUUGGGUUAAGUCCCGCAACGAGCGCAACCCUCGCCUUUAGUUGCCAGCAUUCAGUUGGGCACUCUAGAGGGACUGCCGGUGUCAAACCGGAGGAAGGUGGGGAUGACGUCAAAUCAUCAUGCCCCUUAUGACCUGGGCUACACACGUGCUACAAUGGUUGGUACAACGAGUUGCGAGUCGGUGACGGCGAGCUAAUCUCUUAAAGCCAAUCUCAGUUCGGAUUGUGGGCUGCAACUCGCCUACAUGAAGUCGGAAUCGCUAGUAAUCGCGGAUCAGCACGCCGCGGUGAAUACGUUCCCGGGCCUU